GACGAACGCUGGCGGCGUGCCUAAUACAUGCAAGUCGAGCGGAAUGAUGAAGAAGCUUGCUUCUUCUGAUUUUAGCGGCGGACGGGUGAGUAACACGUGGGCAACCUACCUUGUAGAUUGGGAUAACUCCGGGAAACCGGGGCUAAUACCGAAUAAUCCAUUUUGCUUCAUGGCGAGAUGUUGAAAGACGGUUUCGGCUGUCACUAUAAGAUGGGCCCGCGGCGCAUUAGCUAGUUGGUAGGGUAACGGCCUACCAAGGCGACGAUGCGUAGCCGACCUGAGAGGGUGAUCGGCCACACUGGGACUGAGACACGGCCCAGACUCCUACGGGAGGCAGCAGUAGGGAAUCUUCCACAAUGGACGAAAGUCUGAUGGAGCAACGCCGCGUGAGUGAAGAAGGUUUUCGGAUCGUAAAACUCUGUUGUAAGGGAAGAACACGUACGAGAGUAACUGCUCGUACCUUGACGGUACCUUAUUAGAGAGCCACGGCUAACUACGUG
rnacentral:rRNA from 1 species